rnacentral:rRNA from 1 species
GUAGUCCACGCCGUAAACGAUGAAUGCCAGCCGUUAGUGGGUUUACUCACUAGUGGCGCAGCUAACGCUUUAAGCAUUCCGCCUGGGGAGUACGGUCGCAAGAUUAAAACUCAAAGGAGUUGACGGGGGCCCGCACAAGCGGUGGAGCAUGUGGUUUAAUUCGACGCAACGCGCAGAACCUUACCAGCCCUUGACAUCCCGGUCGCGGACUCCAGAGACGGAGUUCUUCAGUUCGGCUGGACCGGAGACAGGUGCUGCAUGGCUGUCGUCAGCUCGUGUCGUGAGAUGUUGGGUUAAGUCCCGCAACGAGCGCAACCCCCGUCCUUAGUUGCUACCAUUUAGUUGAGCACUCUAAGGAGACUGCCGGUGAUAAGCCGCGAGGAAGGUGGGGAUGACGUCAAGUCCUCAUGGCCCUUACGGGCUGGGCUACACACGUGCUACAAUGGCGGCGACAAUGGGAUGCAAAGGCGCAAGCCCCAGCAAAUCUCAAAAAGCCGUCUCAGUUCGGAUUGGGCUCUGCAACUCGAGCCCAUGAAGUUGGAAUCGCUAGUAAUCGUGGAUCAGCAUGCCACGGUGAAUACGUUCCCGGGCCUUGUACACACCGCCCGUCACACCAUGGGAGUUGGUUUUACCCGAAGGCGCUGUGCUAACCGCAAGGAGGCAGGCGACCACGGUAGGGUCAGCGACUGGGGUG